rnacentral:rRNA from 1 species
UACGUAGGGUGCAAGCGUUGUCCGGAAUUACUGGGCGUAAAGGGCUCGUAGGCGGCCAACUAAGUCGGAUGUGAAAUCCCCAGGCUUAACCUGGGAACUGCAUCCGAUACUGGAUGGCUUGAAUUCGGGAGAGGGAUGCAGAAUUCCAGGUGUAGCGGUGGAAUGCGUAGAGAUCGGGAAGAACAUCGGUGGCGAAGGCGGCCUGCUGGGCUGUUGCUGACGCUGAGGCGCGACAGCGUGGGGAGCAAACAGG